rnacentral:lncRNA from 1 species
UUUCCUUGAAAAAGUGAUUUUCCUUGAAAAAGUGCUUUUCUUUGAAAAGCAAUGAAGAACGACCUUCGUUUGGAAACAAAUUCUCAGAAGCUGAGAAGUAAAAAUUUUUAGCUUUUCAGCCAAGAAGUGCUUUUGGCUGGUUCAUUUACUUUUUUAGCCACACACGAACGCCCUUAUCUGCUCUCUGCUGCUUCUUUGCCCUCAUCUCUGCCCUCUGCUGGUUCUUUGUUCUGCCCUCUGCUGGUUCUUUGUUCUGACCUUUGCUGGUUCUUUGUUUCUCUACCCUCUACCGGUGAGUUUAUUUUUUUCUUCUCUUCUUCUGUAUAUUUUUGUUUGUCUGGGAUUGAUUUUCAAUUUCCCUGCCCUCUGCCCUUUGCUGGUUCUUUGAUUUUCAAUUUCCUUACCCUCUGCCCUUUGCUGGUUCUUUGGCCUUGGAGCUGCACCAAACAGUAAAUGCUGUUGUGGAGAUUGUGAAAGAACAUUACUUGGU